rnacentral:rRNA from 1 species
GUAGGGAAUCUUCCACAAUGGGCGCAAGCCUGAUGGAGCAACACCGCGUGAGUGAAGAAGGGUUUCGGCUCGUAAAGCUCUGUUGUUAAAGAAGAACACGUAUGAGAGUAACUGUUCAUACGUUGACGGUAUUUAACCAGAAAGUCACGGCUAACUACGUGCCAGCAGCCGCGGUAAUACGUAGGUGGCAAGCGUUAUCCGGAUUUAUUGGGCGUAAAGAGAGUGCAGGCGGUUUUCUAAGUCUGAUGUGAAAGCCUUCGGCUUAACCGGAGAAGUGCAUCGGAAACUGGAUAACUUGAGUGCAGAAGAGGGUAGUGGAACUCCAUGUGUAGCGGUGGAAUGCGUAGAUAUAUGGAAGAACACCAGUGGCGAAGGCGGCUACCUGGUCUGCAACUGACGCUGAGACUCGAAAGCAUGGGUAGCGAACAGGAUUAGAAACCCGAGUAGUCC